rnacentral:rRNA from 1 species
AAAAAGUCGUAACAAGGUCUCCGUUGGUGAACCAGCG